AUGCUUGGCACUGCCUGAUCCCUGAAGAAAAGUGGAGGAGUCGGAGGUUAAAUUACACAGGUUCCUUUACCUCCUUCUGGAGUCUUUCUUUCAGACAGGGCCUUUCCUACAGCUUGAGUUUGGGAACAAAAAAUCCACCCUUUUCAAGUUUUUCUGUGGAGGUGAGACCAGAUUUAAAUGAACAUUAUUUGAGCAGAAAAAUCUAAUGUGAUAAUGUCCUGGAAACAAGGAACAACCAAACUUAGAGAGGCAGAGAGGAGGCACAAAGGGAGAAAGCCAGGUCCGUGCCCCAGAGGGGACAGGGUGACAGCGCAGUUUUCCAAGCCAGGUGGGCUGCUUGAAGCAUUCACAACAGGGGCCAAUCCCCUGUGACCUCAUAUGCUCUAUUCAGUCUUUCGCAUCUGGUGGGAGGUUUCUCUGCCCAGCCCUCCAUGUGGUCUUGCAUACACUGAGACGGAGUGUGGCUUCGGAUAGUGAUUCUCAAAGCUGGCUGCCCGGCCUUGUGGGAAGACCUCUGGACUUGGAAGACCUUUGGAAGUAUCCAGGGUGCUGGAAGCAGAGACGGGACAGACCCGGUUCCUGUACUGGGGGUGCAUCCAACCGUAGAUGGGGUCCAAGACCCCUGCCCAGAUGGACAGAAUAGCAGGCAGAAGGAGGCCAGGGAGAGACGAACAACUGCUUAGUGUGUUCAGAUCAUAGCAACCCUCUCGGCCAAACC
rnacentral:lncRNA from 1 species